CUCCGCCCCGGUGCCCGUCGAGGCGGAGGGAGGCGGGCCGCGGGCGGUGGUGGACGGCUGCAAGGGUAGUGGUGUCUCCGGGCGAGAUGUAAACUGCGUAUGCCAAAGUUGUGAUAGAGUUAAACAGAAUGCAAUUCCACCUGCUAACGAAACCGUGUUUCCUUAUUGACUGAAGUACAGCCCCAGGGCAAGGACGUGAUCCAGCAGAGCACAAACUAUUCAGCUGACCUCUCAUUUGAAUAAAUCACAUAUGGUAAAUGGA